UACGUAGGGCGCGAGCGUUGUCCGGAAUUAUUGGGCGUAAAGAGCUCGUAGGCGGCCUGUUACGUCUGCUGUGAAAUCCCGGGGCUUAACCCCGGGCGUGCAGUGGAUACGGGCAGACUGGAGUACUGCAGGGGGAGACUGGAAUUCCUGGUGUAGCGGUGGAAUGCGCAGAUAUCAGGAGGAACACCGGUGGCGAAGGCGGGUCUCGUGGGCAGUAACUGACGCUGAGACACGAAAGCGUGGGGAGCAAACAGG
rnacentral:rRNA from 1 species